CUUCCCGCGUUGUAUAGACACAUCUCGCAGGCUGCAAUGUAUAAAAAGGUUUCUUCUGUGUAGUGCAGGUCUCUGUCAGAGGUUUCAGGGCAUGACUGCAGGAGUGAGGAGCCGUGCUGUGCUGUGGAGAGGGAUUAGCUGGAGUCUCGGAUUCGGUGUGAGGGCUGGGGGCUGGCGGGUAGAUGUCAGGGUUCCAGCCAGCCCUGGGUGGGACUGCCAGAUCUGCCGCUCCACAGGGAGUCCAGAGUGUGAGGAUACCUCUAAGGCAAAACAAAGUGCCCUUGAAAAGCAGAGAGAAAUGCCAGAUUUGCCACCUUCUUCUUUUUCCCCUCCCUGGAAGCUGGCAGCCCAGAGUGGUGGGAAGGAGAGUCAAGGGCAUAAAUAAGCCAAGAGAGGAAAGGUGUAGCAAGGGUUGUGCUAAAAUGCCUGUUUCCUUUCGAAUUUCUACACCAUCAGAGGACAAACGACGCUUGACUGAGCAGAAUUGGAUCUGACCAAAGGCAAAUGAGGACCCAAACACAGGAUGAGGGAAAUGGAAUACUGCAGUUUUGCUUGUAUCUAUAUUACGUAUACAACAUCCGCUUAUAUUUAGCAUCAAGACACACUUUCACUCAACCUCCUGGAUACCUCACGAGAGGACACCAAGUUUGCUCAAGCUAUCCAUGGCAGUUUCACUUAACAAGGUCUUCUUCUUCCCCCUGCAAAUCUUUCCAGAUGUGCAGUGAUCCUAGCCAUCACUUGGUAUCCCAAAGCCUAUUUCCAUGUCUGUUACAUUUGUAAGCUAGACUUGGCAUGUCUUAUUUCACUGGGACCUUUUGGAUUUUGGGAUAUCAUUGCCCUUAUUCUCCAUAAAAAUGGAUGCUAGCUUGUAAUGCUGCAAGAAAACAGACAAAAAAAAAAUUUAAAAAAAAAAAAGGGAGAGAAAAAAAGCUGAAAAGAACAAUGCUACAUCACACACAGAACCUAUUUCUUAGCCUUUUCAAAAUACCAAUGACAGGAUGUCCUAAGUACUUGUUGCUGACUGAUCCCAUUAGGAAAUAGGUUAGGUGGUACCUGCUUCCUGCAGGUCUGGCUGGGUGAUCCCAGAUGGACUCAAAGGAUUUAUAAGCCCAAGUCCCUUCCCAUAUUUGCCUAGUUUUCUUUUGUCCAAGAAUCCUCCUCCUUGAUGAGGAAUAUCUGCAUGAGGGAGGUAGAGGCAAUGAUGCAGAGGGAUGCACAAAAGGUUGAGGGGCAGUGUGUGCUAAACCUGUACUCGCCAAAACAUCCUUCUGGCCACUGGGUCAAGGCAUCAAGUAUAUUGACAGUCUGGAUUCAAACCAUGGAGUAUUGUUAAAUAACUAUCUAUCACUGUUUUUUCUUUAUAACUAACUUGUCUCCUUCAAACCAAAUACUGCUAGUAUUAGUAAUCAGUUAUUAAAUCCCACUGCACCAGGGUGUGUUUAUAAAUAUGUGACAACUUCAUGUCUAAAGACAUAAAGAAUAAAAUAACAGCAAUCCAGAUAUUUUUAAUAUUU
rnacentral:lncRNA from 1 species